GACGAACGCUGGCGGCGUGCUUAACACAUGCAAGUCGAACGGAAAGGCCCUGCUUUUGUGGGGUGCUCGAGUGGCGAACGGGUGAGUAACACGCGAGUAACCUGCCCUUGACUUUGGGAUAACUUCAGGAAACUGGGGCUAAUACCGGAUAGGAGCCCCUGCUGCAUGGUGGGGGUUGGAAAGUUUCGGCGGUUGGGGAUGGACUCGCGGCUUAUCAGCUUGUUGGUGGGGUAGUGGCUUACCAAGGCUUUGACGGGUAGCCGGCCUGAGAGGGUGACCGGCCACAUUGGGACUGAGAUACGGCCCAGACUCCUACGGGAGGCAGCAGUGGGGAAUAUUGCACAAUGGGCGGAAGCCUGAUGCAGCAACGCCGCGUGCGGGAUGACGGCCUUCGGGUUGUAAACCGCUUUCGCCUGUGACGAAGCGUGAGUGACGGUAAUGGGUAAAGAAGCACCGGCUAACUACGUG
rnacentral:rRNA from 1 species